rnacentral:rRNA from 1 species
AUGCCGACAUGCAUCAGGAAGCCAACAGACAGCCAGAGCUUGAAGGCGUGGAGCCUGAGCUGCAGUGACGACGACAACUUGGGUGUCAGGUGCAAAAACUGCAGUUCAAAGUGUUCAACCAAGUUACACGAUAUUCAGGUCCAAAGGUUUUCCGUCCACUGCAUGGCUGGCUACGAGUGGCUGGCCGACGGGGUGCUCGGCGAGGUCGAAGCCGCUGCGUACUGGACUGCCGUCGCGCCAAACGUCGAGGAGUAUGGCAGCGCCGUGGCCAGGUCCAACGCUUCCGGCGCCGAGAACGUGGCCAAGGGGAUCAUGUGGUGCGGGGUGAUGACCGUGGACAGGCUCCGCUGGCGGAACGAGGUGCUCCGAAAGAGGAUUCAAACCGGCGAUAAUGAGGCCGAGGUCUGCCCGGAGAUGCUCAGGUGUAUCAAAAGGUAG